rnacentral:rRNA from 1 species
CCCUACGGGGUGCAGCAGGCGCGAAACCUCCGCAAUGUGAGAAAUCGCGACGGGGGGAUCCCAAGUGCCAUUCUUAACGGGAUGGCUUUUCAUUAGUGUAAAGAGCUUUUGGAAUAAGAGCUGGGCAAGACCGGUGCCAGCCGCCGCGGUAACACCGGCAGCUCUAGUGGUAGCAGUUUUUAUUGGGCCUAAAGCGUCCGUAGCCGGUUUAAUAAGUCUCUGGUGAAAUCCUGCAGCUUAACUGUGGGAAUUGCUGGAGAUACUAUUAGACUUGAGAUCGGGAGAGGUUAGAGGUACUCCCUGGGUAGAGGUGAAAUUCUGUAAUCCUGGGAGGACCGCCUGUUGCGAAGGCGUCUGACUGGAACGAUUCUGACGGUGAGGGAUGAAAGCCAGGGGCGCGAACCGGACCAGAUACCCGGGUAGUCCUAGCUGUAAACGAUGCGGACUUGGUGUUGGGGUGGCUUUGAGCUGUCCCAGUGCCGAAGGGAAGCUGUUAAGUCCGCCGCCUGGGAAGUACGGUCGCAAGAAUGAAAGAUAAAGGAAUUGGCGGGGGAGCACCUACAACGCGUGGAGCGUGCGGUUUAAUCGGAGUCAACGCCGG